rnacentral:siRNA from 1 species
GAUAGUGCUGAGCCGAUGAGCCU